rnacentral:rRNA from 1 species
UACGUAGGGUGCGAGCGUUACCCGGAUUUAUUGGGCGUAAAGGGCGCGUAGGCGGCUCGGCACGUCCGUUGUGAAAUCGCCCGGCUCAACUGGGCGGGGUCAGCGGAUACGGUCGAGCUUGAGCAAGCUAGGGGGCAAUGGAAUUCCCGGUGUAGUGGUGGAAUGCGUAGAUAUCGGGAGGAACACCAGUGGCGAAGGCGGUUGCCUGGAGCUUUGCUGACGCUGAGGCGCGAAAGCGUGGGGAGCGAACAGG